GCCGGGUGUGGUGGCUCACACCUAUAAUCCCAGCACUUUGGGAGGCCGAGGUGGGCGGAUCUCCUGAGGUCGGGAGUUCGAGACCAGCCUGACCAACAUGGAGAAACCCCAUCUCUA
ensembl:misc_RNA Metazoa_SRP Metazoan signal recognition particle RNA